rnacentral:rRNA from 1 species
AUGAAGGCCCUCUGGGUUGUAAACUUCUUUUAUUUGGGAAGAAACCUAUCCUUUCUAGGGUAGUUGACGGUACCAGAUGAAUAAGCACCGGCUAACUCCGUGC